GUGGGGAAUUUUGGACAAUGGGGGCAACCCUGAUCCAGCAAUGCCGCGUGCAGGAAGAAGGCCUUCGGGUUGUAAACUGCUUUUGUACGGAACGAAACGGUCUGGGUUAAUACCCUGGGCUAAUGACGGUACCGUAAGAAUAAGCACCGGCUAACUACGUGCCAGCAGCCGCGGUAAUACGUAGGGUGCGAGCGUUAAUCGGAAUUACUGGGCGUAAAGCGUGCGCAGGCGGUUUUGUAAGACAGGCGUGAAAUCCCCGGGCUCAACCUGGGAAGUGCAUUCGUGACUGCAAGGCUAGAGUGUGUCAGAGGGAGGUGGAAUUCCGCGUGUAGCAGUGAAAUGCGUAGAGAUGCGGAGGAACACCGAUGGCGAAGGCAGCCUCCUGGGAUAACACUGACGCUCAGGCACGAAAGCGUGGGGAGCAAACAGGAUUAGAUACCCUUGUAGUCC
rnacentral:rRNA from 1 species